UCCCUGCGGGCAUCCCGGACACUCCGGGCCACCGGGACAUCCCACGGAGCAUCCCGGACACUCAGGGGCAGCGGGACUUCCCAGAGGGCAUCCCGGGCACUCGGAGGUACUGGGACACACCGUGGGUCAGCACCCGGACCCUCUGGAGGAACAUCACAGGGCACUCCGAGGGGACACUCCGGAGGAGCACCCCGGGACACCCCUACGAUGAUCCCGUAGCUGAAUUCUUCCUCGUUUUGUUUUAAAAUUUUUUUCUGCUUGGGCAGGAAUUUUUAAAAUCUUCCUGCCCCCGCCGAGGCCGGGUGGAGCUGACGAUGCCAGGGGGAAGCUGAAGGAAAUGGCUCACCCUGGAAGGCUUUGCAGACUCGGGCCCUGUGUAACAGGAGAAAUCGCAAAUCUACAAAGACACGCUCGUUGAAUUAUUUUUGGGAUAGGAUCGACCAUGCUCCUGUCCCAUCAGGGACUGCUGCUUGGUUUGUGGCCCAGCGUUGCUUUUUUAAUAUGGACUUCAGGAGCUUUUUCUCAGAUAGUGAAGAGUGGAGGGAAGAGAAAAUAUAUUAGCAGGAGGAAAGGCAGGUUUGUGAACUGUUGCUUAAAAGAAAGGGGAAUAUUUCAUGCGUUGACAUGUCUGAAGAUGCUUUAUUGGAAGAGGACAUUUGGGAGUACAAAUCCAUUAGGAAGCGAAAGCAUCGGAGUAAUUCACAGAGCAUCUCUACUCCUGUGCAGGAAGUAAGUGUUGGCAAAGGCAGGCCAAAAAGAAAGAGAAAUAGGAAAAAGAACUCCACAGAAAAAACUAGUACACCUCAGAAAACCAAGCAGAGCUCGCGGCCAGGUCAGGAUGUGGAUCAAUGUAAAGAAGACAGUAGUGAGCACUCCCAGGAAAGUGUGGGUAGCCUGGCAGAACAGAGCUCGCAAAACGCAAAGCCCGUUCACGAUGGAUUCUGUCCCAGCUGCCAGAUGCCCUUCUCUUUGCUGUUGGUCCAGACACCUCAGUGGCACGUCUAUGAAUGUCUGGAAACUCCAGGGCCCAUUGAAAAAGAGUGUCCUGAUGGUUUACAGUGCACCUCCACCAUUCCAUCUCACUACAAGCGUUACAGCCAUUUUCUGCUUGCAGCAAACAGGGCAGGGGAGUAUAUUGUAAACCCUUUGGGAACCACUGUGGAGAUGAAGAUGACAUGUUCUACUGCUGCAAAGCCCAGCUGGUCCCCAAGUUAUGCAGAGGAAACCUCAGGGAAUGAGAAACCCUCUACUGAAAUAAAGCACGUCCCAAAUUAUGACUGUGCAUCAAUGGUACGGAAUUCACCACAAAUGUCUCUAAAUACAAUUAGUGGAAGUACUUCCUUUUUUGCAGGUGUUGAAAAACCUCAACAGACACUUCAGCUCCCACAGAGGGCAGAUAAUCAUUGUAAAUUUGAAUUUUUUGAUUUUGCGUCCUCUCAAGAAAGUGAAACAGGAAAACAUCUGUGUAUGGAGAAAGAUACAAGUCAGCCAAGUCUGCUGCAGUCAGGAGUGGACUUCAAUGACUGUGAAAUUUCUUAUUCACCACUAAGUACAUUUGAGGAAAGUGAAGAGGAAGAGGAGGAGAAAGUAAAAGUGUCACAGAAUAAAUUGUUAGAAGUGCAGAAGUCAGAAGAAGACUCCAGUUCUAUGUUUAAAACAUUUGAUGGACUUCUCUUACAGAGGAAGCCUCAGUAUGAACAUGUAAAAAUGGAAAAUUUCAUAACUAAAAAAAAACCCUGUGAAGAGGAAAAUGCACUGAAACAUCUAGAUGCUCAGCAAGGGGUGGUGGCCAGUGGAUCCUCUUUUGAUUGUAGUUACAAGGAGGCUGAACAGCCAGAAUUGAUUUCCUCUGCUGCCAAAGCAGGAACCACAGAGUCAGAAGAUGCUGGUGCUUGUGCUCUGGAUUCUGCAUACGUGAGUUUUACUGGGAUGUCAUCACUGCUAGACAGAGAAGAUGCUGGCUCUCUUCUGACACAGAAGAGUAAUGUUUUGAGGGAGCCAAGUAACAUUUUAACUCGUACAGACAAAAUGACUGCCGGUGCAAUUGGAAAAACAGUUCGCCAGGAGAGUUUGCAGACAGCAGUGGAGAAAAAAGGAAAUCUUAGUACAGCUGCUGUGUGCUUUCCCAGCCCCAUCUCUUCUAAAUCAGUGCCAUCUCUUUCAUUAGCUACUAUGAACACAAAAUCCAGUCCUGCCAAAGAACUUAAACAAAUGGACAUCGGUGUUUUCUUUGGGUUAAAACCCAAAGCAAAGGAGGAACGCAAAGGAGAGGCGUGUUUGAAUGAGAAAAAGCAGAUACCUGCUUCAGUAUCUCCUAAUGGAAAGAUGCCUAGACAGCAAAAAAGGAAGGCUGAGGGGUCUGUGGAAGAUGUGGAAGCAGUUACAGAAAGUUCAAGUAAAAAUGAAGCCAUUGCAGAUGUACGUUCUGGUGGCCAACGAAGGUGGAGAAAAAAAUUUAAAGAAUUACCUACUACAGGUGAAGAACCAAGAAAAAAACACUGCCCCUUCUACAAGAAAAUACCAGGAACUGGUUUUACAGUUGAUGCCUUCCAGUAUGGAGAAAUUGAAGGCUGCACAGCUUAUUUCCUUACUCAUUUUCACUCUGACCACUACAGUGGACUAACAAAAAACUUCAGGUUUCCAAUCUACUGUAAUAAGAUAACUGGCAAUCUGGUGAAGAGCAAGCUCCGAGUCCAGGAGCAGUAUGUCCACGUGCUGCCCAUGGACACGCAGUGUGUGGUCAAUGGGAUCAAGGUGCUGUUGCUCGAUGCCAAUCAUUGUCCAGGUGCAGCAAUGAUCCUUUUCUACCUGCCAAGUGGGGCUGUUAUUCUGCACACAGGGGACUUCAGAGCAGACCCUUCCAUGGAGCGCUACCCUGCUCUGAUGGGCCAGCAAGUCCACACCCUGUACCUUGAUACCACAUACUGUAGCCCUGAGUACACUUUUCCUGCACAACAAGAGGUUAUCCAGUUUGCUGUCAACAUUGCCUUUGAGACAGUGACUUUAAACCCACGGACUCUGGUUGUCUGUGGCACUUACUCCAUUGGAAAAGAAAAAGUUUUUUUAGCAAUUGCUGAAGUUCUGGGCUCAAAGGCAAGUAUGUCCCGUGACAAGUACAAAACCCUGCAGUGCUUGGAGUCAGCAGCUGUCAAUUCCCUCAUCAGUGUGGACUGGAAGGGUACUUUGCUUCAUGUUCUUCCCAUGAUGCAAAUUAAUUUUAAGGGCUUGCAAGAUCACUUGAAUAAGUUUUCUGAGAAUUUUGAUCAAGUUCUGGCUUUCAAACCUACGGGGUGGACCUACUCUGAUUCAUGCCUUUCUCUGGAGGAUAUCAAGCCUCAGACAAGAGGAAAAAUCACUAUAUAUGGAAUUCCUUACAGUGAACACAGCAGUUACCUGGAAAUGAAGCGUUUUGUUCAGUGGUUGAAGCCACAGAAAAUCAUCCCCACUGUCAACGUUGGUGACUGGAGAGACAGAAGCUUGAUGGAAAUGCAUUUUAGAGACUGGAUGACCAAGGGCAAUAGGCAUAAAUAAAUAUAAUGCCAGUUCUCAUCAGGUGUUCAAAGCACAGAAGUGGUUCCUCACCAUGUAAUCUGCAUUGGGGUUUGCAGGGUUGUUUACAUACAGAUUUGUCACCUGAAUUCUGGAAAAACAAGAAAGGCAAAUACUAGCACUGGCAGCAAAAAGGGGUGGAAGAGGAAGGAAGUUCACCACUUCAGGGAAAAAGAUACAAGCAAUGCACUGGAGGAAAAGGUGACACGAGGACACAAAUGCCAACAGCAGUGACUUUGGAGCCGAGUUGAGCAAGACCAGGGCUGGCUGUGGGUUCUACAUGUGCUGCCUCCUGCUGCCUCCCACCCCCCCUGCUUGUCCACCACAAUCUUCCUCCCUGCAGAAGCCAUGAUUUCAGUGAACUCUGUUGUGAGAAGCAAAGUUGAUUUUUUUCUGAUCACUCCAGUCAUUUGUCAGCUCCUGGCAGAGACCUCCUGAAAUACAGCACUGCCAGCAGCAAGAUCUGACCCACUUUUCAGCUCCUGUUUCAGAGAAGAGAUGGAUUGGAGCAUUUAUCUCAGCAGGGCUUCUUCAAUCAGAGAAAGGCAGGCUGGAUUUCUCUUGUUAUGAGACCUUGUUAUUUACUUGGCUCUCUGCCCUGCUCUUGGUCACAUCUAUUGCCUGAACAAGGGAGGUAAAGCUGAAAUUCUGUUCUUUGUGCUGCUACCCAGCGACCAUCUGAGGAACUGAGCUCUGCAGCACAGCAGGAGCCUGGUUUUCCACUAACACCUUCGUGGUCGCAGCCCAGCUCGUUCCUUGGAGCUCAUCUGUGGGGCCAACAGCCAGGCAGGGCAGCUGGCAUCCCACAGAAGGGCUGGGGCACGGACUGACAGCCCUGGGGGGCAGUGGGCCAUGGCAGGGCUGUCAGGGACUAUUGGUGCCUUCCAGGACAUGGCAAACAUUUCCAGAAGUGUGUGAAGGUUCCUGAUUUUCUGCCAUAUAAACCCAAAGUAUUCUGUAUCUGACAAAGGAGUGGCAGGGAGAGGGGUGAAUGCAGCAGGACAGUGGUGCAGUUAGUGACAGCUCAUUAGGAAAUGAUGAACUACC